ACGCUGGCGGCGUGCUAAUACAUGCAAGUCGAACGAGAGCGACCGGUGCUUGCACUGGUCAAUCUAGUGGCGAACGGGUGAGUAACACGUGGGUAACCUGCCCAUCAGAGGGGGAUAACAUUCGGAAACGGAUGCUAAAACCGCAUAGGUUCUUGAGUCGCAUGACUCAGGAAGGAAAAGAGGCUUCGGCUUCUGCUGAUGGAUGGACCCGCGGUGCAUUAGCUAGUUGGUGAGGUAACGGCUCACCAAGGCCGUGAUGCAUAGCCGACCUGAGAGGGUGAUCGGCCACAUUGGGACUGAGACACGGCCCAAACUCCUACGGGAGGCAGCAGUAGGGAAUCUUCCGCAAUGGACGCAAGUCUGACGGAGCAACGCCGCGUGAGUGAAGAAGGAUUUCGGUUCGUAAAACUCUGUUGUUAGAGAAGAACAGCGCAUAGAGUAACUGUUAUGCGUGUGACGGUAUCUAACCAGAAAGCCACGGCUAACUACGUGCCAGCAGCCGCGGUAAUACGUAGGUGGCAAGCGUUGUCCGGAUUUAUUGGGCGUAAAGCGAGCGCAGGCGGUCAAUUAAGUCUGAUGUGAAAGCCCCCGGCUCAACCGGGGAGGGUCAUUGGAAACUGGUUGACUUGAGUGCAGAAGAGGAGAGUGGAAUUCCAUGUGUAGCGGUGAAAUGCGUAGAUAUAUGGAGGAACACCAGUGGCGAAGGCGACUCUCUGGUCUGUAACUGACGCUGAGGCUCGAAAGCGUGGGUAGCAAACAGGAUUAGAUACCCUGGUAGUCCACGCCGUAAACGAUGAGUGCUAAGUGUUGGAGGGUUUCCGCCCUUCAGUGCUGCAGUUAACGCAUUAAGCACUCC
rnacentral:rRNA from 1 species